AGCGAACGCUGGCGGCAGGCCUAACACAUGCAAGUCGAGCGGCCGUAGCAAUACGGCAGCGGCAGACGGGAGAGUAACACGUGGGAACGCGCCCUUCGGUUCGGGAUAACUCAGGGAAACUUGGGCUAAUACCGGAUACGCCCUUACGGGGAAAGAUUUAUUGCCGAAGGAACGGCCCGCGUCCGAUUAGCUUGUUGGUGAGGUAACGGCUCACCAAGGCGACGAUCGGUAGCUGGUCUGAGAGGAUGACCAGCCUCACUGGGACUGAGACACGGCCCAGACUCCUACGGGAGGCAGCAGUGGGGAAUAUUGGACAAUGGCGCAAGCCUGAUCCAGCCAUGCCGCGUGGGUGAUGAAGGCCCUAGGGUUGUAAAGCCCUUUCAGCGGGGAAGAUAAUGACGGUACCCGCAGAAGAAGCCCCGGCUAACUUCGUGCCAGCAGCCGCGGUAACAC
rnacentral:rRNA from 1 species